GGAACGGGCUUGGCAGAAUCAGCGGGGAAAGAAGACCCUGUUGAGCUUGACUCUAGUCUGACCUUGUGAAGAGACACGGGGGGUGUAGGAUAGGUGGGAGGCCGGGCUCGCCCCGGUUCGCCGGUGAAAUACCACUACUCUCGUCGUUUCUUUACUUAUUCGGUGAGGCGGGAAGCGGGCCCCUCGCGGGCCCAGUCUUCUGGCGCUAAGCGCCCGGCCGCCUCGCGGUGAGCCGGGCGCGACCCGCUCCGACGACAGCGUCAGGCGGGGAGUUUGACUGGGGCGGUACAUCUGUCAAAUGGUAACGCAGGUGUCCUAAGGCGAGCUCAGCGAGGACGGAAACCUCGCGUAGAGCAAAAGGGCAAAAGCUCGUUUGAUUUUGAUUUUCAGUAUGAAUACAGACCGUGAAAGCGUGGCCUAUCGAUCCUUUUGACCUUCGGGGUUUGAAGCAAGAGGUGUCAGAAAAGUUACCACAGGGAUAACUGGCUUGUGGCAGCCAAGCGUUCAUAGCGACGUUGCUUUUGAUCCUUCGAUG
rnacentral:rRNA from 1 species